rnacentral:lncRNA from 1 species
UUCUUGAUCUUCUAGGUCCAUUCAAGCAUAAGGAAUUAAGGAGGAAAGCAAAAGCCGUUCCGAGUCUCAAACGAAGAACGAUAAAGGUAAAGCGACUUGCUAAAUGACGCUACUUGGAUCGAACACGCCCAUGAUGCACGCUUCCGCAAAGAUAUUAGUUUGGGUCAAAACUUUUGUUAAAUAUACUUUUGGUAAAUGGGUCUUUUUGUAAGUAACAAACUUGUUCGUUGUUAGAUGUCAAACUCGUAGUCAAAGACAAUGUUAGUUGUUUAUGGAAUGUUGGGUUAAUUUUUGCUUAUGA